GUGAAACCAGGGUCAUGUGACCGAUACUGGUGCCGACGUGGGUGGGAGGCUCCUGCUGCCUAGCACCUGUGCACCUCACUGGUUAGCUGGACACCCUCACUGCUUCUGAAAGAGCAGCCAUUAUGCUCGGCAUUGAAAUAAAGGCGUAACGCAAGCAGCCGACAUGGCUGGGGUGCAUUUCCUUGCGGCUCGUUUUAAAGAGAAACCUGAGCCCCCCCACACUCCGUGACAGCUGCUAAUACGGGAAAAGCUACGAAGACAAGCACUGCGGUUUCCAGAGGUGAUCUCCCUGCCUGUUAUACAGCCAUGGAGAUGCUACAGACUGAGGUCGGUUUCCUGCAGCCCCCAACAUGGGCACGUUGCCUUUGUAGACAGGAGGUUUCUGUGUAGGAGGAUCUCUUAGGUCCCUCCAACAAUGGAUCGAUUCUCCUUCCCCACUCAGAGCCUGCAGUUUCACAAAAGCACAUACUGAAAACAUCUGGGUUUCCCAACUGAAAUAUUUCAAGCCGACUCCCUUUAAGAAGAAAAAAAAAAGUAAGAUCUAUAAAAAGCAGACCGCACAGCCUGGAGAUAAUUCCUCAAUUUGCUGGAUCACGUGUGAAACAGAAUAAACAGAUUAACGCAGA